GAUUUUUGAUUGUAUUGUAUUGAUUAUUGAUUGUGUUGUUGUGUGUGAGCUCGUGCAGCAGAGGGAGGAAACAGUUUGAACAGACAACUGGCCUGCAGAGCAACAGGAAGUUAAACACCUGGGAGGACAGGAGCGUACGAAACCCUCAUGACUGCAGAUCUUCUCCUGCACCUCCCGAUGAAGAGACCCCCGAGAACAAAGACCACAA